GAAGGUAGCUCAGUGGUAGAGCGGUGGGAUAAUCCCACAGAUCGCAGGUUCGAGUCCUUCUUCUUCU
rnacentral:tRNA from 1 species